GACGAACGCUGGCGGCGUGCCUAAUACAUGCAAGUCGAACGAGAGCAACCGGUGCUUGCACUGGUCAAUCUAGUGGCGAACGGGUGAGUAACACGUGGGUAACCUGCCCAUCAGAGGGGGAUAACAUCCGGAAACGGAUGCUAAAACCGCAUAGGUCUUCGAACCGCAUGGUUUGAAGAGGAGAAGAGGCGCAAGCUUCUGCUGAUGGAUGGACCCGCGGUGCAUUAGCUAGUUGGUGAGGUAACGGCUCACCAAGGCCGUGAUGCAUAGCCGACCUGAGAGGGUGAUCGGCCACAUUGGGACUGAGACACGGCCCAAACUCCUACGGGAGGCAGCAGUAGGGAAUCUUCCGCAAUGGACGCAAGUCUGACGGAGCAACGCCGCGUGAGUGAAGAAGGUUUUCGGAUCGUAAAACUCUGUUGUUAGAGAAGAACAAGUGCUAGAGUAACUGUUAGCGCCUUGACGGUAGCUAACCAGAAAGCCACGGCUAACUACGUG
rnacentral:rRNA from 1 species